rnacentral:tRNA from 1 species
AGGAAAGUAGCUCAGUGGGUAGAGCAACUGAUUCAGUAUCAGUCGGUCGAGGGUUCAACUCCCUUCUUUUCAC